AUAUAAAAUAAAUUUUUUAUGAUUUAUAAAAAUUUUUUAAAAUUUAUUUUACAUAUAAAUUUUAGUGUAAAUUUUUAAAUAUUUUAAAAAUAUUUAAUUUUAUUAAAUUAGUAAUUAACAUUAAAAAUUUAAGAAAUUAAGAUUUAGUAAUAUUAAAAUUAAUAACAAAUUUUGUGCCAGCAGUUGCGGUUAUACAAAAGUUAAAUUAAAUUUUAUUAGUAAUAAUUAAUAUAAAAUAAUUUAAUUUAAAUAUUAAAUUAAUAAGUGAAAUUUUAAUUUAAUUAAAAAUUAUAGUAGAAAUUGUAUGAUUUAAUAAAUUUUAAUAUAAACUAGGAUUAGAUACCCUAUUAUUAAAAAUUUAAAUUUAAAAUACUAAAAUAGUAAAUAAUUAUUUAUUUAAACUUAAAUAAUUUGGCGGUAUUUUAGUUCAUUUAGAGGAAUCUGUUUAUUAAUUGAUAAUCCACGAAUAAUUUUACUUAAUUUAUAAUUUUGUAUAUCGUUGUUAAAAAAAUAUUUUUAAAUAAAUUUAAUAUUUUAAAAUUUUUAAAAAAAAUUAAAUCAGAUCAAGAUGCAGAUAAUAAUUAAGAAUAUAAUGGAUUACAAUAAAUUUAUUUAUAUGAAUAUUAAAUUGAAAAAUUUAAUUGAAAGUGGAUUUAAAUGUAAUUUUAUUUAAUUUAAUAAAAUGAUUUUAAAUUAAAAUAUGUACAUAUUGCCCGUCGCUUUCAUUAAUAAGUUGAAAUAAGUCGUAACAAAGUAGAGGUACUGGAAAGUGUUUCUAGAAAGAA
rnacentral:ncRNA from 1 species